UACGUAGGGCGCAAGCGUUGUCCGGAUUCACUGGGUGUAAAGGGUGCGUAGGCGGGAAGGUAAGUCCGCGGUGAAAUCUCACAGCUCAACUGUGAAACUGCCGUUGAUACUGCUUUUCUUGAGUUCGGGAGAGGUUGAUGGAAUUCCAGGUGUAGCGGUGAAAUGCGUAGAUAUCUGGAAGAACACCAGUGGCGAAGGCGGUCAACUGGCCCGUUAACUGACGCUGAGGCACGAAAGCGUGGGGAGCGAACAGG
rnacentral:rRNA from 1 species